GCCUGACGAGGUUAUUCUGAGUGGUUCCCGCUAGGGGGAUUUUUUGGCCUCUGUAAAAAGGGCGGGGUAUAAGGGGAGGGCAAGUCUGGUGCCAGCAGCCGCGGUAAUA
rnacentral:rRNA from 1 species